AUUGAACGCUGGCGGCAGGCCUAACACAUGCAAGUCGAGCGAGCGGCGGACGGGUGAGUAAUGUAUGGGGACUGCCCGCUAGAGGGGGAUAACUACUGGAAACGGUGGCUAAUACCGCAUACUAUCGGAUAACCCAGAUGGGAUUAGCUAGUAGGUGGGGUAAAGGCUCACCUAGGCGAGGCUCACUAGCUGGUCUGAGAGGAUGAUCGGCCACACUGGGACUGAGAAACGGCCCAGACUCCUCCGGAGGAGGCAGUGGGGAACAUUGGACAAGGGGCGAAAGCUGAAUGAAGCAAUGCGGCGUGUAGGAAGAGGUCCUUAGGGUUGAAAAGUACGUUCAGCAGGGAGGCGUUACUCACAGAAAAAGCACCGGCUAACUCCGUGCCAGCAGCCGCGGUAAUAC
rnacentral:rRNA from 1 species